CAAACCCUUAACAGAUUACAGGCCCCAUCCUUUGUCAAAAAUACAAUUUUCGCUGCAAAUCAAACGACGCGGUUCUUCUCUGCGCUAGGGAUUUCUGAAAUCUGAAUUCUGAUCGAACACUGUGUAACACAACAAUAGUCAUCAUCAUCGAUCGAGAUUCAACACAACAAUAGUCAUCAUCAUCGCGAUUCAGGACAUCAUAAUCAUUCUCGCAGAUAAUAGUCAUCAUCAUCACGGAAUCACCGCUGCACGGUUCCGAGUUGAUAUCCGACAUUCCGACUAUCCGUCUUCUUAAGCCCACUGCCGAAGCCUAAAGUGACUUCAUCUUGAGAAAUAAUGCCUCCCGUUCCUAAAUACAAACACCUAUCCGGGUUGGCGACAAUAUCUAUUGAAAGUGAAAUAUUAGAUACUAUGGAUUACAAGGAGUUGAUCGAGAGCUUUGCUUCAAAAAACGCUAGGAGAACCACACUGUUUGCUUAGCAAGUAAGUUUGAUACUUUGAUCAUUUUUGCUACACUAUUUUUGUUAAUUUGUUUUAUCUAUUUCAUAACAAUUAUCGUAGUAUUAUCAAUUUUUAGUAUUUAUAUAUAUA